GUGUCAGCCGCCGCGGUAAUACGAGGGGGGCAAGCGUUGUUCGGAUUUAUUGGGCGUAAAGGGUGCGUAGGCGGUUUGGCAAGUCUGAUGUGAAAUCUAUGGGCUCAACCCAUAGUCUGCAUCAGAAACUGCCGGGCUUGAGUAUGGGAGAGGUGAGUGGAAUUUCCGGUGUAGCGGUGAAAUGCGUAGAUAUCGGAAGGAACACCUGUGGCGAAAGCGGCUCACUGGACCAUAACUGACGCUGAUGCACGAAAGCUAGGGGAGCAAACAGGAUUAGAUACCCUGGUAGUCCUAGCCCUAAACGAUGAUUGCUUGGUGUGGCAGGUACCCAAUCCUGCCGUGCCGAAGCUAACGCGAUAAGCAAUCCGCCUGGGGAGUACGGUCGCAAGGCUGAA
rnacentral:rRNA from 1 species